rnacentral:lncRNA from 1 species
AAAAAACCCAGUUGACUCAGAGUAUGUGGUUGCUUGUUGAGUUUUCUGUGUGCGAGAGGUAGCACGUGUCUUGACCUCAUGCUCCCCUUCCCGUAGGUUGCACCUGGAGGAUCUGGGAUUCCCACCCUGUGACUGAGACCAUCACCAGAUCACGACCCUUUCUUGGAGAUUCCUUUCUCAGUGUCCCUGAAGCGUGUCCAGAUGACAUCUCCGGAGCCUGAAGAUCAACUAGAGAUGACCUGCAGCAUUAACACCAGAGUGACGUGCCCUUCAGUGAUCCACCACCAGCAUGAACACCGGAGGGACGCGCUUCAGGGAUCCACCCCUUUCUUUUCCAUGUGAAGAGCAGCAGCUCCCGCUAGGAGGGAGAAGACAGGGUGCAUAAACGGGAAAUGGUGAUGCUGGAAGAGGAUGCAGGGGAGCUGCGGACACCCCGAGAGCAAACAACAUGCAGCACAGCACAGGCUGCAGCCAUGCACGACCAGGAGCCUCCAGGCUCUCCUCAUCAUGACAAAUCAGGUGGACAGAUGGAAAUGGUCUUCCUGGGGAACAAAUCGGUUCCUUCCUUAAUCUGUUCAACUGUGAGGGCAGCUGGAGGCUCUAAUUCGGUUACCUCUGCAAGGGCUGGCUUCAGACACCCCUUAUCAUCUGUUAGACCUACCAGGACAAAGGCACUUCUGAAGCACCAAAUUUGUUCAUAACUUGCUCUGUGUAGAGGGGAAAAAAGAAAGAAAAAGAAAGAAAAAAGAAAAAAAAAGAAAAAGAAAAAAAGGAAAAAAAAGAAAAAAAAAGAAAGAAAAAGAAAGAAAAAGAAAGAAAAAGAAAGAAAAAGAAAGAAAAAGAAAGAAAAAGAAAGAAAAAGAAAGAAAAAGAAAGAAAAAGAAAGAAAAAGAAAGAAAAAGAAAGAAAAAGAAAGAAAAAGAAAGAAAAAGA